rnacentral:rRNA from 1 species
GACGUAGGGCGCGAGCGUUGUCCGGGUUUAUUGGGCGUAAAGAGCGUGUAGGCGGCUAGGUAGGUCCGUUGUGAAAACUCGAGGCUCAACCUCGAGACGUCGAUGGAAACCAUCUAGCUAGAGUCCGGAAGAGGAGAGUGGAAUUCCUGGUGUAGCGGUGAAAUGCGCAGAUAUCAGGAAGAACACCCGUGGCGAAGGCGGCUCUCUGGUACGUGACUGACGCUGAGACGCGAAAGCGUGGGGAGCGAACAGG